rnacentral:lncRNA from 1 species
UUUGGAAUUGUUCAUCAGAAUGAGUGAGGUGGCCGUUUUCGAUCAACCACCGCUCGUACCUCAGUAGAAGAGCUGUUUGUAGCGUCAGAAUGUUGGAGCCGAGAUUUCUCGCCUCACUCCAACGACGAACCUAAAAUUGAAACAAUCAUUUCCCCACUACAGUAGAAAUUUGAAAACAUACAAACUGAUAUUAUACCAUAACAUUAAGUGUAGUAACAAUCAUUUCUCCACUGCAGU